rnacentral:rRNA from 1 species
CGUACAGUCAGUGAAUCAUCGAAUCUUUGAACGCAAAUUGCGCUUCGGAGUAAUACUUCGGAGCAUGUCUCUUUCAGAAUCGUUUACAAACCAUCUCGGCUGCGUGCAUGUCGAAAAAAUGAGCGUCAGCAAUGUCGCUUUAAAUAUCGGACGCAUUGUGCUAUUGUCAGCUUGUGUUUGAUCGAGGUAGAUUCUAUCAUAGAUUGAAUGCCGGCUUCAACACUAGUGCAUACUAUUGCGUCAUCACCAAUUCUGCGCAAGCGGAAUACAACUCAAAACUUCGAUCUGAAAUGAGAUAAGAUUACCCGCUGAACUUAAGCAUAUCAAUAAGCGGAGG